AGAGUUUGAUCCUGGCUCAGAUUGAACGCUGGCGGCAGGCCUAACACAUGCAAGUCGAACGGUAACAUUUCUAGCUUGCUAGAAGAUGACGAGUGGCGGACGGGUGAGUAAUGCUUGGGAACUUGCCUUUGCGAGGGGGAUAACAGUUGGAAACGACUGCUAAUACCGCAUAAUGUCUUCGGACCAAACGGGGCUUAGGCUCCGGCGCAAAGAGAGGCCCAAGUGAGAUUAGCUAGUUGGUAAGGUAACGGCUUACCAAGGCGACGAUCUCUAGCUGUUCUGAGAGGAAGAUCAGCCACACUGGGACUGAGACACGGCCCAGACUCCUACGGGAGGCAGCAGUGGGGAAUAUUGCACAAUGGGGGAAACCCUGAUGCAGCCAUGCCGCGUGUGUGAAGAAGGCCUUCGGGUUGUAAAGCACUUUCAGUUGUGAGGAAAAGUUAGUAGUUAAUACCUGCUAGCCGUGACGUUAACAACAGAAGAAGCACCGGCUAACUCCGUGCCAGCAGCCGCGGUAAUACGGAGGGUGCGAGCGUUAAUCGGAAUUACUGGGCGUAAAGCGCACGCAGGCGGUUUGUUAAGCUAGAUGUGAAAGCCCCGGGCUCAACCUGGGAUGGUCAUUUAGAACUGGCAGACUAGAGUCUUGGAGAGGGGAGUGGAAUUCCAGGUGUAGCGGUGAAAUGCGUAGAUAUCUGGAGGAAC
rnacentral:rRNA from 1 species